UUAGGGCUGGACCAUCUUCCAUGUUGUGCAUGUAUCCCGUUUGGUUCGUCCGUUCGUCCAUCCAUGCACACGCGACUCAAACCUGUGGUCACCAAUCUGGAAGAAGUUCAGGCUCCUGAGUCCACUGAGAUGGCGUCAACAGGGACUGUAGCUCAAGAGGAACCAGGACUCAAUUCCAUCUAGAAGGAAAGAGGCAGCCCUGAGGGAGGUGCUCCCUGCCUCCCGCUCUGGGCUUGCUCUCGGCGAGUGGUAGUUUAGAGCAAGGGUUUCAUCUUCUGUUAUUAGGCCCUGCCGGCAAACUGAGUUGAGGAGGGUGUGCCCAGCAGGGAGGAAUGAAGGGCCACAGUGAUUCAGCGAUUCAGCGUCUGGGACUCAGCUGAGCCUUUCCUGCCCCUGAGGCAGGCGGCUGAGGAAGUCCUUGAUCUUGAACCCAGCCCCUUAAGGUCUGCAGGUGGCCCCACCUUCAAAGUAAGAACUCCCCAUGAUUCCCCUGGGGCCUCUUCAGCCAGAGGAAGCCGAUGAGCCUAAGAGGCUUCCUGAAAGGCGCUCAGGGACUCCUCAACAAAGCCUCCAGCUCCGAGAGGGAGUGUGAAAUGGAGCAGGAGCUGCCAACAGGGGCAGUCGCGCAUGGCACAUUCAGCGGUGGGAUACAGUGAACUGAAGGACAAAUCAGACGUGUGUUUCAACUGAGCGAACGCUCAAAACAAGCUGCGGAGUGAAAAAAUGCAGGUUCCCAAACCAUGUGUAGCCCAGGCUGCCAUUUAUGAGAAAUCACUCACACUGGACCAGUGCUUUGGGAGGCUGAGGCAGGAGGAUUGAUUGAGGCCAGGAAUUCAAGACCAGCCUGGGCAACAAAGUGAGACCCUGUCUCUCGCUCCUGUAGUCCCAGCUACUCAGGUGGUCGAGCAGGAGGAUCACCUGGGCCCAGGAGUUUGAGGCUGCAGUGAGCUAUGAUGGCCCCACUGCACUCCAGCCUGGGCCAGUGAGUGAGACCCUGUCUCUUAAAAACAAACAAAUAAAAAAAGAGCAGUCCAGGAGCAGUGGCUCACGCCUGCAAUCCCAGCGCUUUGGGAGACCGAGGUGGGUGGAUCACCUGAGGUCAGGAGUUCAAGACCAGCCUGGCCACCAUGGUGAAACCCUGUCUCUACUAAAAAUACAAAAAUUAGCUGUGUGUGUUGGCGGGCACCUAUAAUCUCAGCUGCUCAGGAGGCUGAGGGAGGAGAAUUGCUUGAACCCGGGAGGCAGAGGUUGCCGUGAGCCGAGAUUGUACCACUGCACUCCAGCCUGGGUGACAGAGUGAAACUGUCUCAAAAUAAAUAAGUAAAUAAAUAAA